UUAAGCGACUAAGCGUACACGGUGGAUGCCCUGGCAGUCAGAGGCGAUGAAGGACGUGCUAAUCUGCGAUAAGCGUCGGUGAGGUGAUAUGAACCGUUAUAACCGGCGAUUUCCGAAUGGGGAAACCCAGUGUGUUUCGACACACUAUCAUUAACUGAAUCCAUAGGUUAAUGAGGCGAACCGGGGGAACUGAAACAUCUAAGUACCCCGAGGAAAAGAAAUCAACCGAGAUUCCCCCAGUAGCGGCGAGCGAACGGGGAGGAGCCCAGAGCCUGAAUCAGUGUGUGUGUUAGUGGAAGCGUCUGGAAAGGCGUGCGAUACAGGGUGACAGCCUCGUACACAAAAAUGCACAUAUUGUGAGCUCGAUGAGUAGGGCGGGACACGUGGUAUCCUGUCUGAAUAUGGGGGGACCAUCCUCCAAGGCUAAAUACUCCUGACUGACCGAUAGUGAACCAGUACCGUGAGGGAAAGGCGAAAAGAACCCCGGCGAGGGGAGUGAAAAAGAACCUGAAACCGUGUACGUACAAGCAGUGGGAGCCUCUUAAUGGGGUGACUGCGUACCUUUUGUAUAAUGGGUCAGCGACUUAUAUUCUGUAGCAAGGUUAACCGAAUAGGGGAGCCGAAGGGAAACCGAGUCUUAACUGGGCGUUAAGUUGCAGGGUAUAGACCCGAAACCCGGUGAUCUAGCCAUGGGCAGGUUGAAGGUUGGGUAACACUAACUGGAGGACCGAACCGACUAAUGUUGAAAAAUUAGCGGAUGACUUGUGGCUGGGGGUGAAAGGCCAAUCAAACCGGGAGAUAGCUGGUUCUCCCCGAAAGCUAUUUAGGUAGCGCCUCGUGAAUUCAUCUCCGGGGGUAGAGCACUGUUUCGGCAAGGGGGUCAUCCCGACUUACCAACCCGAUGCAAACUGCGAAUACCGGAGAAUGUUAUCACGGGAGACACACGGCGGGUGCUAACGUCCGUCGUGAAGAGGGAAACAACCCAGACCGCCAGCUAAGGUCCCAAAGUCAUGGUUAAGUGGGAAACGAUGUGGGAAGGCCCAGACAGCCAGGAUGUUGGCUUAGAAGCAGCCAUCAUUUAAAGAAAGCGUAAUAGCUCACUGGUCGAGUCGGCCUGCGCGGAAGAUGUAACGGGGCUAAACCAUGCACCGAAGCUGCGGCAGCGACACUAUGUGUUGUUGGGUAGGGGAGCGUUCUGUAAGCCUGUGAAGGUGGCCUGUGAGGGUUGCUGGAGGUAUCAGAAGUGCGAAUGCUGACAUAAGUAACGAUAAAGCGGGUGAAAAGCCCGCUCGCCGGAAGACCAAGGGUUCCUGUCCAACGUUAAUCGGGGCAGGGUGAGUCGACCCCUAAGGCGAGGCCGAAAGGCGUAGUCGAUGGGAAACAGGUUAAUAUUCCUGUACUUGGUGUUACUGCGAAGGGGGGACGGAGAAGGCUAUGUUGGCCGGGCGACGGUUGUCCCGGUUUAAGCGUGUAGGCUGGUUUUCCAGGCAAAUCCGGAAAACCAAGGCUGAGGCGUGAUGACGAGGCACUACGGUGCUGAAGCGACAAAUGCCCUGCUUCCAGGAAAAGCCUCUAAGCAUCAGGUAACAUCAAAUCGUACCCCAAACCGACACAGGUGGUCAGGUAGAGAAUACCAAGGCGCUUGAGAGAACUCGGGUGAAGGAACUAGGCAAAAUGGUGCCGUAACUUCGGGAGAAGGCACGCUGAUAUGUAGGUGAAGCGACUCGCUCGUGGAGCUGAAAUCAGUCGAAGAUACCAGCUGGCUGCAACUGUUUAUUAAAAACACAGCACUGUGCAAACACGAAAGUGGACGUAUACGGUGUGACGCCUGCCCGGUGCCGGAAGGUUAAUUGAUGGGGUUAGCGGUAACGCGAAGCUCUUGAUCGAAGCCCCGGUAAACGGCGGCCGUAACUAUAACGGUCCUAAGGUAGCGAAAUUCCUUGUCGGGUAAGUUCCGACCUGCACGAAUGGCGUAAUGAUGGCCAGGCUGUCUCCACCCGAGACUCAGUGAAAUUGAACUCGCUGUGAAGAUGCAGUGUACCCGCGGCAAGACGGAAAGACCCCGUGAACCUUUACUAUAGCUUGACACUGAACAUUGAGCCUUGAUGUGUAGGAUAGGUGGGAGGCUUUGAAGUGUGGACGCCAGUCUGCAUGGAGCCGACCUUGAAAUACCACCCUUUAAUGUUUGAUGUUCUAACGUUGGCCCGUAAUCCGGGUUGCGGACAGUGUCUGGUGGGUAGUUUGACUGGGGCGGUCUCCUCCUAAAGAGUAACGGAGGAGCACGAAGGUUGGCUAAUCCUGGUCGGACAUCAGGAGGUUAGUGCAAUGGCAUAAGCCAGCUUGACUGCGAGCGUGACGGCGCGAGCAGGUGCGAAAGCAGGUCAUAGUGAUCCGGUGGUUCUGAAUGGAAGGGCCAUCGCUCAACGGAUAAAAGGUACUCCGGGGAUAACAGGCUGAUACCGCCCAAGAGUUCAUAUCGACGGCGGUGUUUGGCACCUCGAUGUCGGCUCAUCACAUCCUGGGGCUGAAGUAGGUCCCAAGGGUAUGGCUGUUCGCCAUUUAAAGUGGUACGCGAGCUGGGUUUAGAACGUCGUGAGACAGUUCGGUCCCUAUCUGCCGUGGGCGCUGGAGAACUGAGGGGGGCUGCUCCUAGUACGAGAGGACCGGAGUGGACGCAUCACUGGUGUUCGGGUUGUCAUGCCAAUGGCACUGCCCGGUAGCUAAAUGCGGAAGAGAUAAGUGCUGAAAGCAUCUAAGCACGAAACUUGCCCCGAGAUGAGUUCUCCCUGACUCCUUGAGGGUCCUGAAGGAACGUUGAAGACGACGACGUUGAUAGGCCGGGUGUGUAAGCGCAGCGAUGCGUUGAGCUAACCGGUACUAAUGAACCGUGAGGCUUAACCUU
rnacentral:rRNA from 1 species